ensembl:lncRNA
CCUUUGUGGUAUUUUAUACCUUGGGUCUAAGAUGUGGGCCAGUUGUUUAAAUCCCUCGUUCUCUACGACGCUGUGGGGCUGAAUAUCUUUGCAAAUAAAGUAGGCUAUGGCAUCGGUUAUGGCUUGGGAGCGAGCAGAGUCAGCUGUCGGGGGCGCGUUUUGCCUAAAUAAACUUGCGAUAGACCCGUCACCUCCUUUGCUACUGCUCAGUGUGGCUCAGUGUGGCUCGUGUUUCAGCAGGAUCCGAAGAAAACGAGGGGCUAGCGGCCGCAGAGAUGUCCACACCGGGCCGUCUUUCAUGUGUGUCGCCAGCUGUUGCACAAAAUGAGGAGUUGAUCUAUUCCACAGUGAGAUUCUCUACAGAUGUUGGCCCUAGCCACUCUGACCUGCAUAGACCAGAUAAACCUGCUGACCCCUCACCUGAGCCAAAGUCAAAGGCUGUGACAACUGGACAAGCUAAAGAGAGAAUACUGUGGAUUUCUCUCUGUGCUGUCCUUUUUGUUGUGGCCCUCAUCAUUGGAGUGCUCUUCAUCUAUGGCCAUGUUUCACAUAAAGAAACUGUUCAACGGCUCACAGGUUAGUGUCUGAAUGGAAAACAGUGUGAAAUUCUGAAAAUGGAAAAACAUUGCUUUAGGAGAACUUGAAAUGGUUAUUGUCACUGAUACAAGUGUCCAUAAAGACAACAGAGGAGGCAGUAAAUAGACUUUAUUUUAGUGUUUACUGGAGCACUAAACACCAUGAUGGUUGGGAUUACAUGUACUUACAGACAGGGAAUAAAACAUUGCUCAACACAAAUUAUCCCUGAAAAAUGUAAAUUUUUGAACACUGGCUUCCCAGUAGUCCACUCAGCUGCACCCCACUGCCAGGCCAGUGCUUUGACGCUGGCCAUCACCGUGACCGGAUUCCUAUCAAUCCAAUCCUCAUUGCUGGGCCUGGCCCUGUCCCCCCCUCUUGCCUCUUCACUGGGACAAGCCUGUUGUUAGGCUGACAAGUAAUGUAGUAAGUUAGCAUAACUGAAAGGUCCUCCCAAAAAUUCCAAUUAAGCUUGUAGAUUUUAGCAUGUGUUUCAUGUGUGAAAAAUAUGAAAGAUGUGGUAAAAAUAAACAUUACCCUUGGAAAGGGAAAAAUAGUUCUAUUAAACUGGACUAUACAUUAGCUUAGCU